AGCGUCGGGCCCAUACCCGGCCGUCGUUGGCCACGGAAUGCCGCGAGGUACGCCGCGACGAGUAGGAGGGCCGCCGCGGUGGCGCGGAAGCCUAGGGCGCGGGC
rnacentral:rRNA from 1 species